GACGAACGCUGGCGGCGUGCCUAAUACAUGCAAGUAGAACGCUGAAGAGAGGAGCUUGCUCUUCUUGGAUGAGUUGCGAACGGGUGAGUAACGCGUAGGUAACCUGCCUUGUAGCGGGGGAUAACUAUUGGAAACGAUAGCUAAUACCGCAUAACAAUGGAUGACACAUGUCAUUUAUUUGAAAGGGGCAAUUGCUCCACUACAAGAUGGACCUGCGUUGUAUUAGCUAGUAGGUGAGGUAAUGGCUCACCUAGGCGACGAUACAUAGCCGACCUGAGAGGGUGAUCGGCCACACUGGGACUGAGACACGGCCCAGACUCCUACGGGAGGCAGCAGUAGGGAAUCUUCGGCAAUGGGGGCAACCCUGUCCGAGCAACGCCGCGUGAGUGAAGAAGGUUGUCGGAUCGUAAAGCUCUGUUGUAAGUCAAGAACGGGUGUGAGAGUGGAAAGUUCACACUGUGACGGUAGCUUACCAGAAAGGGACGGCUAACUACGUG
rnacentral:rRNA from 1 species